UACGGAGGGGGCUAGCGUUGUUCGGAAUUACUGGGCGUAAAGCGCGUGUAGGCGGGGCUUUAAGUCAGGGGUGAAAUGCCAAGGCUCAACCUUGGAACUGCCUUUGAUACUGGAGAUCUUGAGUCCGGGAGAGGUGAGUGGAAUUGCGAGUGUAGAGGUGAAAUUCGUAGAUAUUCGCAAGAACACCAGUGGCGAAGGCGGCUCACUGGCCCGGAACUGACGCUGAGACGCGAAAGCGUGGGGAGCAAACAGG
rnacentral:rRNA from 1 species